rnacentral:lncRNA from 1 species
AGAGAUGAAACUUUAUUCAUAACUUUAUAUUAUGCAUAUCUUUGAAAUCAAAAGGAGAUAAUGAAACCAAACUUCAAAAUAGAAGAGUUCAUUUUGUAUGAGGAUAGACAAAUUUAAUGAGUUUCAAUUGUCAUACAAACCUUAGUAACCUUGGUAUGCUAGAUGAGGGGAAAAAACGCAUCUUUUAAGAGAUGAUAUGGUAACC